rnacentral:tRNA from 1 species
GCCGGCGUAGCACAGUGGUAGUGCAGCUGAUUUGUAAUCAGAAGGUCGGGAGUUCAAAUCUCUCCGCCGGCA